GUCAGAGCUACUCUAGUCGCACCCACUCAGUCGUGAACUGGAGCAGCAGCCAGAGAGAGAGUAAGACAAUGGUGAAUGAGAAGAGGCCAGGUGACAGGAACCUGCAAGCUCAUCCAUCCACAAACAUCCACUGAGCACCUGCCACGGGCUGGGCCCCGUGCAUUCAACAACAAAAUGAACUAAACUGAGCUUCCAGCAGUGAUGGGACCCACUCAGCAUCGCCAUUCUGCACAGCCUAUCCGCAGCCCCUCUCCGAUAACCCACCAUCAUUUCCCACCAAACAAAUGAAGAAAGAGUGCGGCCUUCAGUUCAGUCUUCAAUGUGUCUUCAUUUGUUUGCAACCGCUGAACACAGCUAUCUGAUAUCACUGUGGCCUGGGACUCUCAGCUUCCAGCAAGUGGGAGCCCCACCUGGCUCAUCCACUUCAAAAGAGGAUUGCAUGCUAAUGAAUUAAUACAUACAAGAAAGUGUUGCAAACUCUACAAUCCUAUAUAAAUCUUAAGAAGAUUAGAAGUUUACCAAAUGCUCUGUAAUGCAUUUUGAAGGGCUAUCCCUUAAAAGAAACUGGAAAUCAGCAAGACAA
rnacentral:lncRNA from 1 species